CACAGCUUUAGUCGCAGCAGGCCAGCGCUGUCCUCCAUACCUUCCCCAUUCUCCUCCUCUUGCAGAAUAAUGCAGGUGUCACUUGGAUGCUGAGCAGAGAUAGUAUCAGGCCCGGCAGAGGCUUAGCUGCCCUGGUGGUGGCGGUGGCUGCGGAAGCUCAGGCUGAAGGAUGGCAACCGGCUUGUUCUGCGAUCAGUUCUCCGUCUGGAUGGCUCUGUGCAACGACUCCUGGUGGCUUCAAAGCCUCCUUUGUUUACAAAAGGAUGAUGAUGUGGGGUGUCCAGGGAGACAGACUGGAAGAGAACAAAGUGAGACAUGUUUUACUGAAGACGCUAACCAGAGUCAAGACACUCUCACAAACAAAAGCCUGCGAUGAAUUUCGUGGAUGGCUGUUCCGUCAGUGUGAGUCGGGUAAUUGGCCAGUGGGAAUGUUAGCAAGGACGGCGGACGGUAGACUUCUUUAUCUGUCUCUACGAGGAAGAGAUUACAAAGAAAGUCCAUGAUGAGGAGGAAGUUUAUUGAGUCGGGGAUGGGUUAACUCAGUCUGUCAGGAGCCUGAUGAGGGUCAGCGCCCGGCUCCUGGCUGCUCGGGAGAGGCGGCUCGACGUCACCGCCGUUUGACUAUUCUCUGUGCCACGACCGCAGAAUUUCCGUGACUGUUACUCUUGACAGUCAUUCCACAGCCGUCAGAACACAGAAUGCUGAGGACAGAUCCUGACGGGUCAGGGCAGGCCCACCCUGUGGCCUAGCUCUGCCACUUCUUGGUUAUGAAACUUUGGGCAAGUUACUUAAUUUCUCUUAGCCUCGGUUUCCUCCUCUGAUAAUAAUAGUUACCCAAUAAGAAUGCAGAUAUGAUAGCUGGAGUUCCAGCAGCUACCUUGAGCAAUGAGGCAGCUUUGAGGAUGGAAGCCUUUAGCUGAGGAAGGUUGAGCCCAAAGAUAGAAGACAACCAGCUUACUGAUGACUAUGGAGCCUCCACACCAGCCAGGGGUUGCCUGUCUUGGGACUUCUAUGGGAAAGAAAAAUACACGUGAGUGUACAUUGAGUAUCACAUUCCGAGAAUUAAAUCAGAUGAAGAGCUAAGCCCUCGUUCCAACACUGUGAAGAGGCCAGGGGAAAAACGGGACCCGACAGGCCAUCUGCACUAAAUGCUCCCAACAAAUCUGCACAAGUUGCCUGUAAAACUGUGGUCAGCGGCAGCCGCCUGGAAGGGAGGCUCUCUUGACCUUGGGGCCGUCUCUCAGCAUUUACCUUGGGGCAAAUGAAAACUGAAGCACCAUCUGCAUUUUUGCUCAGCUCGCUCUAAGCCCGUGGAUGAUCACCAUGCUGCGUGAAUUUUGGAAGCAGCCUGUGAAAUUUGGCUGCCGUCACAUGGCCAAGUUUGAGAGGGGUGGCUGGGCCCGGUCCAGUGCUAAUCACUCCAGCUGUGGUUAUAAAUCACUGCGAGGUUGCGAGAGAGCCUCUCUCAGAGGCUGGCUACUUGAAACCCUUUUUCUGCUUGGAGACGGCAGAGAAACAGAGACCAGUAGCUGAACCUGUCCUGUGCAGAGCAGGGCGCCAGCAUCAGGCCUUCCCUCUCCACUCCAGGCUCAGGCCUCAUCCUUCUCUCCCUUCUUUCCUUUCAGUGUGUCUUUCUGUGUUCCCUCCCUGUGAC
rnacentral:lncRNA from 1 species